rnacentral:rRNA from 1 species
AUUGAACGCUGGCGGCAGGCUUAACACAUGCAAGUCGAGCGGAGAGAGGUAGCUUGCUACUGAUCUUAGCGGCGGACGGGUGAGUAAUGCUUAGGAAUCUGCCUAUUAGUGGGGGACAACAUUUCGAAAGGAAUGCUAAUACCGCAUACGUCCUACGGGAGAAAGCAGGGGAUCUUCGGACCUUGCGCUAAUAGAUGAGCCUAAGUCGGAUUAGCUAGUUGGUGGGGUAAAGGCCUACCAAGGCGACGAUCUGCAGCGGGUCUGAGAGGAUGAUCGGCCACACUGGGGCUGAGACACGGCCCAGACUCCUACGGGAGGCAGCAGUGGGGAAUAUUGGACAAUGGGCGGAAGCCUGAUCCAGCCAUGCCGCGUGUGUGAAGAAGGCCUUAUGGUUGUAAAGCACUUUAAGCGAGGAGGAGGCUACUUUAGUUAAUACCUAGAGAUAGUGGACGUUACUCGCAGAAUAAGCACCGGCUAACUCUGUGCCAGCCGCCGCGGUAAAAC